CUUCAUUUGUAAAACUGUGCUCUUCGUGUUGGCAGUGACUUUACGCGCGCAUGCUGGAGCUCGCAUUCGCAUCAUGAAGGGAAAGGCGGCAGUCAUUUGGCUCGCUCUGGUUAUGAGCCACCAUGUCAUUGGUCAGGGACUGAGACAGCAAGGCGUGGGUCAAUUCGGUGCACGCCAG